CGAACGCUGGCGGCGUGCUUACCACAUGCAAGUCGUACGGUAAGGCCCUUUCGGGGGUCCACGAGUGGCGAACGGGUGAGUAACACGUGAGUAACCUGCCCACAACUUUGGGAUAACGCUAGGAAACUGGUGCUAAUACUGGAUAUGUGCUCCUGCUGCAUGGGGGGGGUUGGAAAGCUCCGGCGGUUGUGGAUGGACUCGCGGCCUAUCAGCUUGUUGGUGGGGUAGUGGCCUACCAAGGCGGCGACGGGUAGCCGGCCUGAGAGGGUGACCGGCCACAUUGGGACUGAGAUACGGCCCAGACUCCUACGGGAGGCAGCAGUGGGGAAUAUUGCACAAUGGGCGCAAGCCUGAUGCAGCAACGCCGCGUGCGGGAUGACGGCCUUCGGGUUGUAAACCGCUUUCAGCAGGGACGAAGCUUUUUGUGACGGUACCUGCAGAAGAAGCACCGGCUAACUACGUG
rnacentral:rRNA from 1 species